CUCUCUCUCUCUCUCUCUCUCUCUCUCUCUCCGUAACUUGCCAGAAGGAGAAGAGACCUGAACCUGUAUUCAAUGACUAUCACUUCCUCGGCAGCUGACCAUGAACCCAUGGCCGCCACCACCCUCCAAGAUGAAGUCCUAAAACGCCAUCGCGGAAGGGGUCGGACGCCGUUAAAGAAGCUCUUCAGGGUGGCUUCAGUUGCCUGUGGAAUCCAGUUUGGUUGGGCUCUGCAACUCUCCCUCCUGACCCCUUAUGUUCAGGAGCUUGGAAUCUCUCAUGCAUUCUCCAGUCUCAUAUGGCUUUGCGGCCCUCUCUCUGGUUUGGUGGUCCAGCCAAUUGUUGGUUAUAUGAGUGAUCGGUGUAAGAGUAAAUGGGGAAGGAGGCGACCUUUCAUUGGUUUUGGAGCUUUGUUGAUUGCUUUUGCUAUGAUUUUGAUAGGGCAUUCGGCUGAUAUUGGUGGAUUGCUUGGUGAUCAUCGUGAUAAGAGGCCUAGAGCUAUCGUGGUGUUUGUGCUAGGGUUUUGGGUGCUCGAUGUUGCGAAUAAUACUGUGCAGGGGCCUUGCAGGGCUCUUCUCGCUGAUUUAGCUGGGAAGGACCAAAGAAGACUACGUCGAGCUCAUGCAUACUUCUCCCUAUUCAUGGCAGUGGGCAACAUCCUUGGCUUUGCUACAGGAUCAUACAGUGGCUGGUUCAAAAUCUUUCCCUUUUCUCUCACCUCUGCAUGCAAUUCGAACUGUGCCAAUCUUAAAUCUGCUUUCAUUCUGGGGAUCAUACUUCUGGCCGUCACUACAUGCCUGAGCAUAACAGCUGCCCAGGAGAUGCCUCUUGGUUCCAAUCAAUCACCCUACCAUGAGGUAGCUGGAGAUGGACCAUUGGAGCCAGGAGAGGGUGCCCAAGAACCCUUUUUAUGGGAAUUAUUUUGGUCAUUGCGAUUCCUUUCGAGGCCGAUGCGGUUGCUUCUAGUUGUGAAUGGGUUGACAUGGAUAGCAUGGUUUCCUUUUCUUCUCUUUGACACUGAUUGGAUGGGCCGUGAGGUUUAUCAUGGGGAUCCAUCAUCAAGGGAGAGAGGGCAGAUUUAUCAUGAUGGUGUUCGUAUGGGAGCAUUUGGUUUACUUCUUAACUCUGUAGUUAUUGGGAUAACUUCGGCUGUGAUUGAACCACUUUGUAGGAAAUUAGGUGCUGGUUUUGUAUGGGGAUUUUCAAAUAUCCUUAUGUCCCUCUGCUUCAUCUCGAUGCUGAUAAUAGCAUUUGUGUCCGAGAAAAUGGAGCUCGAGCAAUCUGAACUUCCUUCAGAUGGCAUUGUCAUUGCAGCAUUAGUAGUCUUUGCAUUGCUUGGCGUACCUUUGGCUGUUACUUACAGUGUUCCUUAUGCAUUGGCCGCCUCAUACACAGAGUCCUUGGGAAUGGGACAAGGAUUGUCCAUGGGAGUGUUGAAUCUAUCUAUUGUAAUUCCUCAGGUGGUAGUGUCCCUUGGGAGUGGACCAUGGGAUCAGCUUUUUGGAAGUGGGAAUUCGCCCGCCUUUUUUGUUGCAGCAGUUUCAGCAUUUGCUGGUGGACUUCUAGCCAUCAUCAUUCUUCCAAAAUUCUCUCCAGAAAAGGGCAGAGGAAUACCAUGAUUGAGGAAAGUUUUGACAACUGCAGUAGUAUGCACAACAUUUGAGCCCAAUUGAUUCUGUAAAUAAUUUAUGUACAUAUACAUGAAUAGGAAUAUGUGCAUGGGUCGGUUCAUUUGCAUUUGGGUUGAAAUGCUAUAAUCCAAGGGAGUAUAUAUCCAUCCAGUCUGUUCCUUUGAUGGACACUGGAGAUUAGCAUAGCGGAGCUCACUAGGGCAUUCCCAGGUAAAAUUGACCUCCAUCACUUGGUCAUCGGAAAGGGGCGGUUAGUGCCCCUCUGAAUUACUAGUCCAUUGGAUUAGUCUACUUUCCCUAUGUUUUUUAUUCUUCUUUCUUCUUCGUUUCUUCAUAAGCAACAACCAUGUAGAUGUAAACCUACAAAUUUCCAUUGAGGAAGGUCUAUGGCUUUGAAAGUAAGCCUGGUGUAUUAUCUGAUAACCUUUGUUGUGUUCCUGCAUAUUAUCUACUGUGCCAAUUUGUAGCUGAAUGUAUUGAACUUUCUAAUAGGCCUUUUAAUCUUGAUUAAUGGCAUGAGGUUCUAAUAGACCUUUUAAUCUUGCUUAAUAGCAUGAGGUAGCCUGCAUCCUUAAGUCUAUUCUUCUACUUGAAUUUCAGCUUGAAGAGGUCAGAGAGUUUGAAUUAUCUAAAUGGCUCCAUUUCUUCAUGAUUUGACAGAAGCUAUGGACGGUUUUCUCUCAAUGAACUUGAUGACUAUCUCAUGGCAUCAUGAAGUGAAUGAUGAAUUUUGUACGGUUUUCUUGCUCUGAUGCGUGGCUUUGUUGUCAUUCGGACUGCAGAGGGAGUUUGAUGUAGCGCAAGUGGGGUUGCAUUUGCAAUACAAAGAAGAGACUGCAAAUCCAGUGGCUCUUUCCUAAUUAGAGAUUUGCAUUGGCUGGCAAAAGCACCACCUCUUGGCGCAGUCAUAUGCUGUUAUUCGUUGCCACUUCCACAUCUGUUGAGUCCCUUAGAAACCAGAGCUGAAUUUAGUCGAUGCGAAACAUCUUGCCUGGCAAGCAUGAUCCAGCCGAGGUAACAGGUUCUUGACCUGGUAUAUUCAUCAUAUAUCUGGUAAUAUGCAGUUGUGAUGUACUUACUAGCUGUGUAGCUUCAGUACUCCAUAAAUAUUAUUGUAUCGUAACAUGUGCCGACACUUAGACAUGUGUUGACACAAACUGUAGAGUGGUUUUAUUGUUUUUAUUUACGUUGACACUUCUUAUAGAAGUGUAAAGUAUUGGGUUUAGAAUCACGAAGUGUAAAGUAUUGGGUAUUGGGUAUUGGGUUAGAAUUUUAGUUAUUGGGUUAGAAUCACGAGGGAGCUUUUAUUGUCGGGCUUAAAUUUUAGUUAUAUUAAAUUCAGGCGGUUUAAAAUAAAUGGAGCCCAUGAUCUCUUGAAGAGGUAUAGUUUGCUCAA